GACGAACGCUGGCGGCGUGCUUAAUACAUGCAAGUCGAACGGAAAGGCGCUGCUCUUGUGGCGUGCUCGAGAGGGGAACAGGUGAGUAAAACGCGAGUAACAUCCACUUAUCUUUGGGGUAACUCCAGGGAAAAGGGGCGAAUACAGGAUAGGAGAUCUUGCUGCAUGGGGGGGGUUGGUGAGAGACGGCGGUUGGGGCUGGACUAGAGGCUUAUCGGCUUGAUUGGGGGGUAGGUGAUGACAAAGGCUUUGACGGGUAGCCGGCCUGAGAGGGUGGCCGGCCACAUUGGUACUGAGGUACGCCCCAGUCUCCUACGGGACGCAGCAGUGGGGAAUAUUGCACAAUGGGCGGAAGCCUGAUGCAGCGACGCCGCGUGCGUGAUGACGGCCUUCGGGUUGUAAACCGCUUUCGCCUGUGACGAAGCGUGAGUGACGGUACUGGGUAAGGAAGCACCGGCUAACUACGUG
rnacentral:rRNA from 1 species